rnacentral:rRNA from 1 species
AUUGAACGCUGGCGGCAUGCCUUACACAUGCAAGUCGAACGGCAGCACGGGUGCUUGCACCCGGUGGCGAGUGGCGAACGGGUGAGUAAUACAUCGGAACAUGUCCUGUAGUGGGGGAUAGCCCGGCGAAAGCCGGAUUAAUACCGCAUACGAUCUACGGAUGAAAGCGGGGGACCUUCGGGCCUCGCGCUAUAGGGUUGGCCGAUGGCUGAUUAGCUAGUUGGUGGGGUAAAGGCCUACCAAGGCGACGAUCAGUAGCUGGUCUGAGAGGACGACCAGCCACACUGGGACUGAGACACGGCCCAGACUCCUACGGGAGGCAGCAGUGGGGAAUUUUGGACAAUGGGCGAAAGCCUGAUCCAGCAAUGCCGCGUGUGUGAAGAAGGCCUUCGGGUUGUAAAGCACUUUUGUCCGGAAAGAAAUCCUUGGCUCUAAUACAGCCGGGGGAUGACGGUACCGGAAGAAUAAGCACCGGCUAACUACGUG